rnacentral:rRNA from 1 species
GACGAACGCUGGCGGCGUGCUUAACACAUGCAAGUCGAACGGAAAGGCCCUGCUUUUGUGGGGUGCUCGAGUGGCGAACGGGUGAGUAACACGUGAGUAACCUGCCCUUGACUUUGGGAUAACUUCAGGAAACUGGGGCUAAUACCGGAUAGGAGCUCCUGCUGCAUGGUGGGGGUUGGAAAGUUUCGGCGGUUGGGGAUGGACUCGCGGCUUAUCAGCUUGUUGGUGGGGUAGUGGCUUACCAAGGCUUUGACGGGUAGCCGGCCUGAGAGGGUGACCGGCCACAUUGGGACUGAGAUACGGCCCAGACUCCAACGGGAGGCAGCAGUGGGGAAUAUUGCACAAUGGGAGGAAGCCUGAUGAAGCAACGCCGCGUGCGGGAUGACGGCCUUCGGGUUGUAAACCGCUUUCGCCUGUGACGAAGCGUGAGUGACGGUAAUGGGUAAAGAAGCACCGGCUAACUACGUG